AGCGAACGCUGGCGGUAGGCCUAGCACAUGCAAGUCGAACGGCAGCACAGUAAGAGCUUGCUCUUACGGGUGGCGAGUGGCGGACGGGUGAGGAAUACAUCGGAAUCUACUUUUUCGUGGGGGAUAACGUAGGGAAACUUACGCUAAUACCGCAUACGACCUACGGGUGAAAGCAGGGGAUCUUCGGACCUUGCGCGAUUGAAUGAGCCGAUGUCGGAUUAGCUAGUUGGCGGGGUAAAGGCCCACCAAGGCGACGAUCCGUAGCUGGUCUGAGAGGAUGAUCAGCCACACUGGAACUGAGACACGGUCCAGACUCCUACGGGAGGCAGCAGUGGGGAAUAUUGGACAAUGGGCGCAAGCCUGAUCCAGCCAUACCGCGUGGGUGAAGAAGGCCUUCGGGUUGUAAAGCCCUUUUGUUGGGAAAGAAAAGCAGCAGGUUAAUACCCCGCUGUUCUGACGGUACCCAAAGAAUAAGCACCGGCUAACUUCGU
rnacentral:rRNA from 1 species